rnacentral:rRNA from 1 species
GAUGAACGCUGGCGGCGUGCCUAACACAUGCAAGUCGAACGAAGCGCCUGGCCCCGACUUCUUCGGACCAAGAGGUGACUGAGCGGCGGACGGGUGAGUAACGCGUGGGUAACCUGCCUCAUACAGGGGGAUAACAGUUAGAAAUGGCUGCUAAUACCGCAUAAGCGCACAGCAUCGCAUGAUGCCGUGUGAAAAACUCCGGUGGUAUGAGAUGGACCCGCGUCUGAUUAGGUAGUUGGCGGGGUAACGGCCCACCAAGCCGACGAUCAGUAGCCGACCUGAGAGGGUGACCGGCACAUUGGGACUGAGACACGGCCCAAACUCCUACGGGAGGCAGCAGUGGGAAUAUUGCACAAUGGGCGAAAGCCUGAUGCAGCGACGCCGCGUGAGCGAAGAAG